GAUAGAAAACCGUCCUGAUUGAGCUCGUGUGUUUCCAGAGGAUCGAUGAAAGACGUGGUAUACAUGGAAACAUAAUUAAAUUGGAUACACAAUACGUGUUCCCCCAUUUUCCGGUGUGGGCCCCCGGAAAAAAAGGUUAUGGUUGUCGCGAUCCAUCAUACAGGGAGAAAGAAAAAAAAAGAAACUAAAAUUGUGGAAGCAGUUCGAUUUCUGAGUUUUGCUUUUAAGUUACCUGUGCUGUUAAAUUUGUAUUUAUUAAAACAUUAUGAUGAAACUGAUUCCCUCGACUUGCCGAUCCGAUGUCCGAUGUUGAGUGAGACACAAACAAUUUUCCGUCUGCCGGUGUUCGAUACACAUCUCCUCCUAGCAGUAGGAAAACGAUGAGCAAUGUGUAAAGCAGACUGGGUGAAAACGUAUUCCUGGAUUGCACCUGUUGAAAUUGGAGCAAAGUAUAUGGGUUAAAUAAAACGUAAUUACAAGCACAUUAUACAAGCUUCAGAACCGAUGCCUUACUCAUUUUUUACUUUUUUUCCUUUCUGAAAAGGAUGUGUUCCCUGGCGAUUCGUAAGGGCAUUAUUCCAUGUCGUCAACGUCUGUUGCUAAUUGAAAAAUGGUGCUCAUUUCAACUUAGUUGGAUUGUUGAUCCUCAUGCAUCUCUACUGUCUUCCAACUGUGUACUAGGUUUUAAUGACUAUAAUAAUUUUACUGCCACCAAUUCGCCACCACCAUUAAUAUGUUAUCAAUUAUUAUUAAAACUGUGUAACAAAGGAAUAAAUAAUAUAAGUGGGGGUGUAUCGUCUACAAAUUCAUCUACAUUGAAAUAAACUAGAGGACGAGGAGGUAAAUUAACGGCUACUAAUUUACAUUUUAUAGAUUCAAUGGUCAAGGUGACUGGUAAUGAUGGAAGAAAAGAAUUUAGUUUGUAAAUACCAAUUUCACUAGAUUUUAAUUCAAUACGCGAAACAUCGUCUUCAAUAUUAACGUGAAAAUAAUCUACGUUAUUUUCGUAUUGAAUGCCAUGUAUAAUAAAAAUAUUUUGGGAGGAGAUUUCCACCCUUACAAAUUUAACUAUUGAGUUAGAUGUUGUUAAUAACCACUGAUCUUUAAACACAGGUUUUAAAACAAAACUGGCAGUAAUAUGCAACCCACAGCCAUCCGAAGUUACACAUGGAUACACGUUUUUGUUUGAACUAGAGAUUACAUUCAUCGAGGCAAACAGUUUGGAUCUACCAGCUACUUGUUCUAAGCAUUUAGAACCUUUCCUCACGCACCUUUUAAGAAACUGUAGAAAGUUCUCGAAAGGAUAUGCCGAGAAGUUGUCCAAUUCACCAUGCACUUCAACGUCUUCAUGAACGUGCAGAAGAUUGUGUAUGUUGCUGCUCAUAUGGGUGCGACCAUAAUGAAUUGGGAAAUCUAAAACAAAUUUAAGAAGCAUUCUACGUGCAAGAGAAUGGCUAACGUAGUGCAGAAAAGAUCUAAACUCGGUUCCUUUCCAAUACUGAAUUGUUUCCAGCGAUCGAAAUGGUCGGUGUACUUCGGAAGGAAGCUUGGUUUUAACCAAAAAAAAUUUACGACUACCACCCAAAUCAAGAAGAUGCAAUCGAUCAGCAACUGGAAAACUCUUGAUCAUAUCUAAACCUUCAAUGUCUUCUAAGGG